GACACGUGUUUGCUACGUCCGACUUCCUGCUUCCUCUUGACAACGUCGCUACUAACAACUCAUAACAGCACUCUUUCAAUCUUUUCAACAAACUACUCUGCACAUAUCACGCAAAGGCGCUCGAUCAGACUCAGCAUUUGUAGUCGGGCUCAUUUCGUUAUUUGGUAGCUUAAUUUGUUUGCUCCAAUGUCCCCGGGCAGGGUGACACAGCUCCGGCCAAGCUAGCUAGCUUUACUAGGCAAGAAGACGAAUCCGAAAGCAAACCCAAAUUCGCAAAAUUUUUUUAAAGGAUCAGACGCAAAUAGUCGCUAUAUAAAGUAGGAAAUUGGUGGUGUCUAGCCUUAUUUUGUUGAAUAAAGAAAACAUGCAGUCAUUAUUCUUGUAGUAAACAUCUCCAUUGAGCUUGCAAUGACAGUGCCCGGACGCAACAACCCAUGCAACACAUUUCGAUAUCUUUAUUAUUAUUAUCGUUAUUAUUAUUUGUGUCGCUGGAUGAGGUAGAGCGUAUGCCGGAGGACUAAUGGCGAGAAGAUGAGAUCUACUUUCUGGACCGGUCGCCAGCUCUCCGCCGCAUGCUGGUCACGUGACGUGCGCUAGGCCUCGCUUAGCCUCCUCUGGUUCCGCUCCUCCCGUCGUCGAGUGGAUCGUCCCGGCGUCGUUCCACCAGCACCAAUGCGGCUGUUGGAGCCGCCGCGCCGCCACGACAACGCAUCGGCACAAAGGACAAAGAUGGCCCUCUUUGAUGCUUUUGACGAAAACGACAAACAUCGCAUCGGCCAAACGUAGUAGCAAAGCAUCACGUGACCCCGGGGCGAGUCUUCUUUCUUCUUCUUCUUCUCGUUUGACUUGAAUUGAUACUUCGCAACCUGGCGCCACCUGUCGAACUGGAAGUGGGGAACAGAAACUGUGGAAUUGAUUUAAAAAAAUAUUAGAAAAUACAUUAAAUGUAUUUAUGUAUGUUAUCAUAUAGGUACAUGUAUUUCUGUAUUAAAAGGGCUUCUUGUAAUUGUGGAAACGAUGUGACAAUGAUUUCUGAGGUUAGGAUUUCACCUGAAAUACAUGUUUUAAAAUAUAAAAUGAAUAUUUCAUGUCUA